rnacentral:tRNA from 1 species
GUCUUGAUAACCUAAUGGUAAGGUCAUACUCUUCUAAAGUAUAUAUGAUUGUUCGAAUCAAUCUCAAGAUA